GCAGCAUUCUCUUCAUACACUGUUCACGGGUUUCCUUUUACGAAUCACAAAAAAAAAAACGUUAGGAGUAGACCAUCGCGUGCACGUGGCCUGUCCUUCUGUGUUUGUUCCAGCGGAGCAGUUUAGUUUUUAUUCUUUACACCUCGCUUUCGUGUGCUCUGUAGUAUUUCAACUGUAUCUCUUACGGCUCCCUCUUGUCUUGGAAUUGUCGUAGCGAAAGUUUGUUGUUCGUUAUGUACAAAACGUAU